rnacentral:rRNA from 1 species
GAUGAACGCUGGCGGCGUGCUUAACACAUGCAAGUCGAACGGAGAAAGGGUAGCUUGCUAUCUUUUCUUAGUGGCGGACGGGUGAGUAACGCGUGGGUAACCUGCCCUUUGCAGGGGGAUAACAGUGAGAAAUCACUGCUAAUACCGCAUACCAACUUCUUUCGCAUGAAGGAAGUUUGAAAGAUUUAUCGGCAAAGGAUGGACCCGCAUUGGAUUAGCUAGUUGGUGAGAUAACAGCCCACCAAGGCAACGAUCCAUAGCCGGCCUGAGAGGGUGAACGGCCACACUGGGACUGAGACACGGCCCAGACUCCUACGGGAGGCAGCAGUGGGGAAUAUUGCACAAUGGGCGAAAGCCUGAUGCAGCGACGCCGCGUGAAGGAUGAAGGUCUUCGGAUUGUAAACUUCUAUCAGCAGGGAAGAAAGGGCUUAUAGCCUAUGACGGUACCUGACUAAGAACCCCGGCUAACUACUGCCAGCAGCCGCGGUAACAC